rnacentral:rRNA from 1 species
CGGAGGGUGCAAGCGUUAUCCGGAUUCACUGGGUUUAAAGGGAGCGUAGGUGGCUUUGUAAGUCAGUGGUGAAAUAUUGCGGCUCAACCGCAAAACUGCCAUUGAUACUGCUUAGCUUGAAUCACGUCGAGGUGGAUGGAAUAAUACAUGUAGCGGUGAAAUGCUUAGAUAUGUAUUAGAACACCGAUUGCGAAGGCAGUUCACUAGGCGUGUAUUGACACUGAGGCUCGAAAGCGUGGGGAUCAAACAGGAUUAGAUACCCUGGUAGUCCACGCCCUAAACGAUGUAAACUCGACAUUAGCGAUAUACUGUUAGUGUCCAAGCGAAAGCGUUAAGUUUACCACCUGGGAAGUACGACCGCAAGGUUG